AAAAACAAAAAUACAGUAACUUUCAAAAACAGCUAAGUACUUAUAUAUAAAGAACUUAAGUAAUAAUUAAAUCAAACAAAAAAAAUAUAUGUACCAGUACAAAACAUUGGACAAUAUGCUGCGUGUCAAAAAGGCACAUCCACUCAGCUAUUGCUGCGCCUUAGAGGAACUCGAAGGACACAGCACUGGUGUUUCAGUGGAUGCCCAGCGUGACGCACGAAACAAAUACAAAUAAUAUUGACAAAAAAACAGUUAUUGCGCGAGCGACGCCGCAGUGUGAUCACGUGUACUCCUGAAAACGGGAUUUCGCACCGCCAGGGCAGAGAGGCCCGCCCAGCUGCGCUCGUCGCACGCGCACAGGUGCCAAAUAGAUAUAACAAAAUAGAAACAGAAUAAUUAAAAAAAACAAAACAAGACUUGACAAUAACCUGUGAUGCAUUAUUAAUGACUACCUAUGGAGACAGUAUUUAUUAUACAAAUACAUAAAUAAAACCAAUAGUUUGUAUAUAUUAUUGCACAUGCCAUCGCCGUGUUCAAGCAGAUCCAGGAACAAUGGAAAUCCUACCUUACGCACUGAGGAUAAGGUCGUGGUAAGUGCAAUUU